AGUGAACGCUGGCGGUAGGCCUAACACAUGCAAGUCGAACGGCAGCACAGUAAGAGCUGGCUCUUACGGGUGGCGAGUGGCGGACGGGUGCGGAAUACAUCGGAAUCUACUUUUUCGUGGGGGAUAACGUAGGGAAACUUACGCUAAUACCGCAUACGACCUACGGGUGAAAGCAGGGGAUCUUCGGACCUUGCGCGAUUGAAUGAGCCGAUGUCGGAUUAGCUAGUUGGCGGGGGAAAGGCCCACCAAGGCGACGAUCCGUAGCUGGUCUGAGAGGAUGAUCAGCCACACUGGAACUGAGACACGGUCCAGACUCCUACGGGAGGCAGCAGUGGGGAAUAUUGGACAAUGGGCGCAAGCCUGAUCCAGCCAUACCGCGUGGGUGAAGAAGGCCUUCGGGUUGUAAAGCCCUUUUGUUGGGAAAGAAAAGCAGCAGGUUAAUACCCCGCUGUUCUGACGGUACCCAAAGAAUAAGCACCGGCUAACUUCGUG
rnacentral:rRNA from 1 species